rnacentral:lncRNA from 1 species
AUACAUACAUAUAUACGUAUCAUGCAUAUUACGUACCUACACACAAAUACAAUUCAUAUAUAUAUAUAUAUAUAUAUAUAUAGUCCCGCUACUAUACUCUUAUGAGUAUAGUCUAUUUUGUACUCAUAAGUUUUUGGCUGUUAGAUCUAUUUCUUUGAUCAUGUCCACCUGUUAGGUCAUACUAUUCAACCAACUAUCCACUCAACCCUAGGGGACCACCAUUAAGCUAAUCGGAAACCACUAUUAUCCUAACCGCACAUCUCUUCAGCCAAUGGUCGAAAAUUUAUGAGUACAAAGGGGGUUAUACUCAUAACUGUUAUAUCUAUACUUUAAUCAAUUUCACCUUUUAAAUCAUACUAAUCAACCAACCACCACUAAAUCCCAAGUGAUCAGUAGCAUCCUAAUUAACCUUAGAAUUUUUUAUCCAAUGAUUAAAAAUUCGAUAGUAAAAGUACUCAAAUGCUAUUAAUAAUAAUCCAGCCCAAUAUAUAUAUAUAUAUAUAUAUAUAUAUAUAUGAGUCCGGUUACUAUGCUAUCGGUAGUACGGAGCGCUCCGUGCUACCAAGUUGUUUUCAAUAAUGCGCCUUACAUAAAUAUAGAUGUAGAAAUUAAGU